rnacentral:misc_RNA from 1 species
UUGUUGUUGUUGUUGUUGUUGCAUUGUAAGGCAAACUAAUAUUGACGAUUUUGUGAAGUUUAAGGUUUUUAGGUUUUUUAACAGCAUGGCUUUUAUUUGUUCCUACUCUGGCAGCCAUGGAUACUGAUGUAUCCCAAAUGCCUGGAAGGAAAGAACGUACCAAAAGGGCUGCUGCACAGAAGAAGACUAUGACAGUUAUUUCAGACGAUUCUGACAGUGAAAAUGAUGUCGACCUAAAUGAUGACUCUGAGGUAGAAGUGGUAGCUGCCCCAGAAACAAAAAAGA